UGGGCCCGCCCGGGCAGACUCCGGCCCCUGUCGCCGGCGGUGGAGGCGGGGCUCCGGGCCGGGCUGUGCGGAGGCCGGCGAGGUGGUAGCACAGGAGGGAUUCGCAGGCUCUGCGGCCGUGCGUGGCGGGGCAUGGGGGCCCGCAGGGCGGAAGUAGCUCGGAGAGACGGGCUGGGGCAGGGCGUGCGUUCGUGCGGUUAAAAUCCACUGGUGGCGUUUGGGGUGUUCCCGUGGACGCGGCCUCCCGGCAGGCGGACCUCCACCGGGUGGGCGCGGCAGGCGGGCUGUGCGGGCAGGAAGAGCGACGAGCUUGAGAGUGGGAGAUGGGGUGCAACGGCGGGCCUCUCCGGGGAGGUGACACUGCCGCUGAGACCCAAAUGGAAGGGCGCGCCCGGCGGGGGAACAGCAGGCGCCGAGGUUCGCUGGAAGCAGGGAAGGGAGGCCCGGGUACCGGCUCGGAGGCCCGCGCGAGCUUCGCGGCAGCGGCACGGAGCGUGUGAACGGCGCAGCGCCGAGGCUUCAUCCAUCGGCCCGUGCAGGGUUCGGGCAGGGAGCACUGUCGACCAGGGUCCGACCCUGGGAGAGUCCAGAGGUGGCGCCUCUGGCAGGGACAGAGGAGGGGGUGACGCUGUAGGGGUGCAGGCAGUAGGCUCCGCGUCAACGCCCCACACUGACAGGGCGGAUUUUUUUUUUUUUUUUUUUUUUUUUGACAGAGUCUCGCACUGUUGCCCAGGCUGGAGUGCAGCGGCGCGAUCUCGGCUCACUGCAACCUCCGCCUCCCGGGUUCAAGCGAUUCUCCUGCCUCAGCCUCCCGAGUAGCUGGGAUUACAGGCGCACACUACCACACCCGGCUAAUUUUUUUGUAUUUUUAUGGUAGAGACGGGGUUUCACUAUGUUGGCCAGACUGGUCGAGAACUCCUGACCUCGUGAUCCGCUCCUAGGUUCGCCUUGGCCUCCCAAAGUGCUCGCUCCUAGGCGUCCCAAAGUGCUGGGAUUACAGGCGUGAGCCACCGCCCCCAGCCGAGGGCGGGUUUUGUUCUCUGCUGUGCCUGUCAGGCAGUCGUUGCCCUGUGGUUAUUUGUGGAGGGAUUGACGGUGCGCUGAGCUUCAGACUUUGUCUGAACAGCUUCGUGGCAGCAAGGAAGGGAGAAGGGAACAGAUCCAAGCCGAUCUUUGGGAGGAGAGAACCAGCAUGACUUGGAGACUUUAGAUGUCAGAGCAAAGGACAGAGUGCAGCUUGGUGACCCGGAGUGGGUGGGUGGGUGAAUGGAUGGAUAGAUAGUGGGGGUGUGGUCUGCCAUCACUGCCCUCUUCCCUGUGUGGGAAGCCAGCUCUUGGUGACUUCCUGCCCAGACCCACUCCCUCUGGCUCUGUCCGAGGGUGUCAGGUGUGCCCUUGACCCUUCACCCUGGGCUAAGGGAUGUCCAAGGAGUUGGGGACAAAGGCAGCUAGGAGGAGGAGCUACCUCCCGAGUCUGCUGCAGUAAGUCACCAGUGUGUUCCUGUGGGUGGAGGCUGGCAGGCCCAUCAGUCUGGUUUGGGUACCCCCGUUGGAUUUGGGUUUGAUGACAUGUAAAGUGAGUUAGAUUCUCUGCAUUACUGUCACACCUGCUGUGCCCAGGCAUGGAAGGUUAAGUGGAACAGAGGGGCCGCCCCCCUGCUGAAGGGGCCCCAGAGUCGGCGCUAGGGGAGGGGGCAGCCUCGGUGGUCCAGGCAGGCACAGGCGGAAUUCUCUGAGGUGGCAUUGGAGUCCAUUGGUCAGAGGUGCUAAAGGGCCCCAAACCUAGAGCCCAUGCCCAGGGCCCCACUGACACCUGGUGCGCAGGGGCAGCCUGGUGACCCCACAUGACACGGGUGGGCGUGACACAGCACCAGCUGGGCCGACAGCCCUCCCCCUGCUGGUUUUUAAUGCUCUGCAGUAAUGUCAUUUCGCCUGCGAAUAAGCUUUCACACAUUUUAUAUUAAAUCUACGAGUAUGAUUUAUUCAGGCACUUACGAAUUUAAUCAAAUUUGUUUCUAAAUAUUACUGAUUUUUGUUAUCAAAUGUGCCAUCAGCUGUUGAGCUUUGAGAAUUGAGCAUCCUGGCUUUUGCCAUUUUGAGGAUCAGCAGAAGCAUGUCUGGAAGAAAUGUGAGAAAAUAAAACUCAGGAGCCUACCCCCACCCUGCCCUUCCGGGAGCUCAGCCCCAGAGCCAGGCUGCUAAGGCCAUGGAGGCUGAGGGCAGUGGAGCUGGGGUUUCUGGAGCCUCAGGGGCCCUGGUUUGCUGGAAGGGCAGGCAGGGCUUCGUGGAGGGCAUUAGGCAGUGGCCAGAGCCCUGCAGUGCUGGGCAUGGGCUUCUCGUGGGCUCUGGCCACGGCCCUGAGCUCCUCCCCUUACCUUCCCAGAGCUGAGGGUCACCUGCUGAGCUGGGCACUGGCUUCUCGUGGGCUCUGGCCACGGCCCUGAGCUCCUCCCCUUGCCUUCCCAGAGCGGAGGGUCACCUGCUGACAGUUUGGGGUGGCUCUGUCUUUGAGAGCGUGCCCUCAUGAAGGCAGAAUGUCCUCCCUGCCUCCAUCCUCUGUGGCCCAGUGGCUCCUGCAGUGCCUGCCCUCAGAGGCUGGUGGCCUGGGACACAGGGUUGGGGAUGGGCUUGGUGGUGCUGCAGGUCACGGUGGGUCAUGAAGGAGCUUUGGGGGUGUUGCAUUCUCUGGUAAAGCACAGCAAGGGAGCCCUUUUACCCACUACUAAAACCUGGCUCUGCACUGAGGCCAUGCGCAGCCCAGUCAGGUGGACGAGGGGGUGACGACUGGACCUCGGGGAGGCAUCAGAGGAGGAGCUGCUGAGAGGCGGGUCACCACAGCCUGGCGCCUGUCUGGAGAGGGUGGGGCUUGGGGAGGUGCUGGCCAGGUCCAUAGGGGUGGCCAGGCUGGGUCUGAAAGGGCCUUGUGCUGGUGUGGGGUGAGCUUGGUCUGUUGGGAGAAUAUGGAGUUCAUUGAGGCCUCCCUGGCUCCAGGUUUGCAUGUCUGAGGAGUGGGUAUCAUCAGGGCCUGGGGCCUCUCCAGCGGGCAUAUCUGGACUCUCCCAGGGUUGGGAGCCUGUGCUCAUCACAAGCUCAAAGCACUCCAUUUCUGCUACCAUGAAGUCAAGGAUGGUGACUGUGAGCCGCCUGGGACCUGAGCUGCCUGGGACUGUGACUGAGGCACCUGGGGUGCCUCUUAGGGCCUUGGGUUUGGGCCCAUGGCUAGAUGAGCCUUGGUGAUUCUGUGGUAUUGCCUGGGCCAGGUGGACCCAGGGGCAGCUGCGGCUGGUCCAUGUGGAGCUCCUUCAAGCCGAAGCAUCUGACACCAGUGUCUGUGAGGUGUGGGCCCGGCCCCUGGAGCGGGGCCUGGGCAGCCCCGUGUGAUGAGGAAGGAAGGCAGGGCCCCCGCUCCCCGGGCCUGACCCCACUGCUUCAGCCCCCUCCUGCCUGCCUACAGCCUGGCCUCGAGGGCCCAUCAGAUGGAGUCUCACUCUGUCGCCCAGACUGGAGUGCAAUGGCGUGAUCUCGGCUCACUGCAAGCUCCGCCUUCCCGGUUCAUGCCAUUCUCUUGCCUCAGCCUCCUGAGUAGCUGGGACUACAGGUGCCCACCACCACACCUGGUUAAUUUUUUUGUAUUUUUAGUAGAGACGGGGUUUCACCGUGUUAGCCAGGAUGGUCUUGAUUUUUCGACUUCAUGAUCUGCCUGCCUCGGCCUCCCAAAGUGCUGGGAUUACAGGCGUGAGCCACCGCGCCCGGCCAAGCACUUCCUUGAACACAGAGAUGACCAUGAGGAGGGAGGCGUGAACCAGGAUGACGGGGCAGCAGAUGGAGCCUGCCUCCCUGAGACCUCAGGUGACAGAGCCCUGUACUGCCUCUUCCUCCCUACAUGGCUGAGAAAUAAACUUCUUUUUCAAACCA